GAAGAUUUAAGCAUCCGUAUGAAUUAAGACCAUUCAUCAAUACCAUUUAACUUUCAACAUUCAAAGUGAUAUUUCUCAGAAGACAACAGAUUUUUCCCGUUAUUUUCAUUUGCAUUUUCUCUCAUUAACUCUCAAACUUUCGAAGUGAUAUUUCUCAGACGACACCAGAUUUUUCCCGUUAUUUAUAUUUACAUUUUAUCUCAUUACCUUUCAACAUUCAAACUGGUAAGUUCA